rnacentral:rRNA from 1 species
CGUGUAGGCGGAACGGUAAGUACCUUGUGAAAUCCCCGGCUUCAAUCCGGGAACUGCUUGGUAUACUGUCGUUCUUGAGGCAGGUAGGGGUCACUGGAACCUUAGGUGGAGCGGUGAAAUGCGUAGAUAUCUAAGGGAACGCCUGUGGCGAAAGCGGGUGACUGGGCCUGACCUGACGCUGAGACGCGAAAGCGUAGGGAGCAAACAGGAUUAGAUACCCUGGUAGUCC